GAUGAACGCUGGCGGCGUGCCUAACACAUGCAAGUCGAACGAAGAAGCGCGUUGCUUUCUGCUCGGAGGGGAGGGGCGGCGGACGGGUGAGUAAGAGGUGAACAACCUGCUACCACCUGCAGGACAACCGCAAGACAGAGUGACUACUACGGGAUAUACUGGACCGGUCGCAUCAAGAGUCUGGGAAGGAUUUUGUGUCGGUUGUGGAUGGACCCGCGGCGUAUUAGCUAGUUGGUGGGGUGACGGCCUACCAAGGCGGCGAUGCGUAGCCGGCCUGAGAGGGUGAUCGGCCACACUGGUACUGAGACGCCGCCCAGACUCCUACUGGAGGCAGCAGUAGGGGAUCUUACGCAAUGGGCGGCGGCAUGCCGGAGCAGCGCCGCCUGAGUAAGGAAGGUCUUCGUCUCGUUGAAAUCUGCUAUCGGGAGAGAAGAAAUGUGUACGUAACUAUGCGCGUCUUGACGGUAGCUGAAUAAAAAGCCCCGGCUAACUACGUG
rnacentral:rRNA from 1 species